rnacentral:rRNA from 1 species
UACGUAUGAUGCAAGCGUUAUCCGGAUUUACUGGGUGUAAAGGGAGCGCAGGCGGUGCGGCAAGUCUGAUGUGAAAGCCCGGGGCUCAACCCCGGUACUGCAUUGGAAACUGUCGUACUAGAGUGUCGGAGGGGUAAGCGGAAUUCCUAGUGUAGCGGUGAAAUGCGUAGAUAUUAGGAGGAACACCAGUGGCGAAGGCGGCUUACUGGACGAUAACUGACGCUGAGGCUCGAAAGCGUGGGGAGCAAACAGG